rnacentral:rRNA from 1 species
AAAAAACUAAAAGAGAACUCAAUUUAUAUUUAACUGUUUUUCAAAAACAUUUUUUCUUUAUUAAGAAAUAUUCCCUGCUCCAUGAAACUUAAAUAGCCGCAGUAUCUUGACUGUGCAAAGGUAGCAUAAUUGCUUGUCCUUUAAAUAAGGUCUUGUCUGAAUGGGAGAUUAAAAUAUAAUAUUUUCUUUUAAUUGAAAUAGAAAAUUUAUUAAAGGUAAAAAUACCUUUGUUUUUUAGAAAGACGAGAAGACCCUAAAAUUUUUGAUAAAAAAAAUACUAAUUAUUUUAAAUAGGGCAUUUAUUUUUUGUUUAAGAAUUUUUUGAACUUAAAAAAAUAGGUAAAAUAUUACUUUAGGGAUAACAGGGUAAUAAAAAUUUGAAGUACAUAUUUGAAUUUUUGAUUACUACCUCGAUGUUGAAUUAGUAAAAAAUCAAAUUAAAGCAGAAUUUUUUUAUGAAAGCCUGUUCGGCUUUUAAAUUACUACAUGAUUUGAGUUAAAACCGGUGCAAGCCAGGUUGGUUUCUAUCUUCUUUUGAUUAUUUUUUGUACGAAAGGAACAAAAUA